AUGGCGCACGAAGCAUCCAAGCGCCGUGCGAAGCUGCACAUGGAGAAACCCCUCCCCGCCGGCGAGGGGUCCAGCCGGCAGCAGGGCGGCCGUGACGUCGUCGACCACGUCCAGGCUCCGGUGCAGGUGUCACCUACGCCGGAGCAGGUGGCUCCUCCGCCGGAGCAGGUGACUCCUCUGCCACGCCAUCUGCCUCCUCUGCCACGCCAUCUGCCUCCUCUGCCGCAGCCCGUGGUCAACGUCGACGGCGACGACGACGAAGAAGAGGUAGCUGCUCUGGCUCCUCAGACGGAGCAGGUGACGCCUCCUGUGCCCGAGCCUGUGGUCGUCGGCGAUGUCAACAAAGAAGACGUAGCUGCUCUGGCUCCUCAGACGGAGCAGGUGUCUCCUCUGCCGCAGGUGAUGCCUCCGGUGCCCGAGCCUGUGGUCGCCGGCGACGUCAACAAAGGCGACUAG
rnacentral:rRNA from 1 species